AUGGACUGGACCUGGACAACCCUGCUCCUGGUGGCCGUGGCUACAGGUGUCCACUCCCAGGUGCAGCUGGUACAGCCUGGGGCUGAGGUGAGGAAGCCUGGGGCCUCAGUGAAGGUCUCCUGCAAGGCUUCUGGGUACACCUUCACCAGCUACUAUAUGCACUGGGUGCGACAGGCCCCAGGACAGGGGCUGGAGUGGAUGGGGUGGAUUUACCCUAACGAUGGCGAUACAGACUACGCCCAGAAGUUCCAGGGCAGAGUCUCCAUGACCAGAGACACAUCGACCAGCACAGCCUUCAUGGAGCUGAGCCGACUGAGCACCGAGGACACGGCCGUGUAUUUCUGUGCGAGACACACAGUGAGGGGAGGUCAGUGUGAGCCUGGCACAAACCUCCCUGCAGGAGGGGCUGUGGCCACCACGGCUCCUCAGGGUCCCUGA